AUUCAUUCUUGUCAUUUGAAUCCUCUUGAUGUGUAAGAUGACAUUAAAAUCCCAAGAGAGAAAAAUGCUGCAGCUCUCCGCAUCGAAGCCCGGGAUGGUGCGUUGCUGAAGGUGCCUUUGCUGAUCCAUCCUCCAAGGAUAACCCAUAGAGAACCAACCCAAGGACAGGACACAGUGACUUCAGAUCUCUCUGUGGGACACAUUGCAGCUGCUGGACAAGAGUGUUUCCCACCAUAGCCAGUGCCAUGGCAGACCCUGCACACUGUGCCUCUGUGGGAGGGAAUCCACCCCUAUGGGAGGGAAGCAGAACCAGGUGCAGGCUGCACCCUUCCUGUGGUUUGACCCAACCUGAGAUGCUCAGAGCCACGGACUGGGUGAGAGAAGCUGAACCCGCAGCUUUUCUUUUCUUUCCAGCAUGGCUUUGCACAGUGCUGCUCUUUUCCUUUUGAAGCACAGCGUUUCACCCACAGGGUGAUGGGGAGGUUGUGCAUUACUGGAAGGGAGAUUCACUUAGGAAGACCUCAGUGCAGCUGUCACCAGCACUGUGGUGACACCGGGUGAGGGCUGCUGGGGGAGAGGCUCACCGGACAGAGGUGCUUCCACAUCGCCCUGACCCUCUGUGUGAGGUUUGUACCUGCAGAGAAGAGGGCAGCUGGGAUUGCUGCAUUUGGGACAGCCAGCAUCCAGGCUGUGGGUUUUCUGCGUAAACCUUUUGUAAUCACACCGGGCAAACUGCAGCUUUAUUGGCUUUCCAGCUGCUCAGGCAGGUUGUGAAGUAAGAGGUUUCAGAUCAGCUGCUCCCAGCCCCUCAGACACCACACAGACCUCACUGCAGCGGCAGACAGGCAGCUAAGGAUGCUCAUAAAAGUCCAAAACCAUAUCCUUUCAGUCUGAGCAGCGUCACGUUUGAUAUCAGACCUUAUAUUUAUUAGUUCAGUUGUUUUUCGCUGUUGAAAAGUUUGUGUGCUCUCUGUUUUUCUCUCCGUUCACAUCGACAGAAAGUGAGAAAAUGGGAUCGUUCAGAAAGGACUACAGCAAAUAAUUCAGAGCUGCUGUGUGUCAUAUAUCUCACCAAGGCCCGACUUUCAAGCCAAAUAGAAAGAAAGUUAGCUGGGGGGGGGUGUAAAGCUUGAAUAGCACAUCACAGUGUAAAGUUUAUGAAUUAUUUUAAGUGCAGCCCAUGAAAUGGUAUUGGUUUUGUAAAAUUAUCUCGACAACAAAUGGUCUUGUUCAAGGCUUUCCAAAACGGGCGCUCGUACAUCAGGCACUCCCUGGCACGGAUUCGAGAGCGGUGACAGCAGAUCUGCAUUGGAAAUGAGCAGAUCACAUAACGUCUUAGGGAAAGGCAAAGUCUGGGCAUCAGAUGUUCCUGGGUCUUUAUUGUAUUUCUGAGAAUUUGCUGUGAAAAUGCAGUCCUGAUAAGUGUGAUUUGAAGGGAAAAAAAAAUCCAAGUGAAAUAAACUGUGAUGGAAACAUUUGCAGUGUGCUGGAGCUUACAGUAAACAGGAGUACAGCUGAUGGAG
ensembl:lncRNA